UACGUAGGGCGCAAGCGUUGUCCGGAAUCAUUGGGCGUAAAGGGCGCGUAGGCGGUCGUGACAAGUCACUUGUGAAAUCUCCGGGCUUAACUCGGAACGGUCAAGUGAUACUGUCGGACUAGAGUACAGAAGGGGCAACUGGAAUUCUCGGUGUAGCGGUGAAAUGCGUAGAUAUCGAGAGGAACACCUGCGGCGAAGGCGGGUUGCUGGGCCGACACUGACGCUGAUGCGCGAAAGCCAGGGGAGCGAACGGG
rnacentral:rRNA from 1 species